CACGUAGGGACCAAGCGUUGUCCGGAUUCAUUGGGCGUAAAGAGCUCGUAGGCGGUUCGAUAAGUCGGGUGUGAAACCUCCAGGCUUAACCUGGAGACGCCACCCGAUACUGUCGUGACUAGAGUCCAGUAGGGGAGCGUGGAAUUCCUGGUGUAGCGGUGAAAUGCGCAGAUAUCAGGAGGAACACCAGCGGCGAAGGCGGCGCUCUGGGCCGAUACUGACGCUGAGGAGCGAAAGCGUGGGGAGCGAACAGG
rnacentral:rRNA from 1 species